CGCUGGGAUUCGGAGCUUCAGCGGGAAGGAGGUUUAGCAGCCAGCUGUGGACUUUGAAAGAGGGAGCAGAGGUAGCCCCAGGACAGUGAGUGGAUUUGUGUCUCUAUCCAGUGUGGAUAAAUCUUGGAAGGAGCUCAGUAAUGUCCUCUCAGGGAUCUUCUGCGCCUCUCUCAACUUCAUCGACUCCACCAACACAGUCACUCCCACUGCCUCCUUCAAACCCCUGGGUCUGGCCAAUGACACUGACCACUACUUUCUGCGCUAUGCUGUGCUGCCGCGGGAGGUGGUCUGCACCGAAAACCUCACCCCCUGGAAGAAGCUCUUGCCCUGUAGUUCCAAGGCCUCUCUGUGCUGCUGAAGGCAGAUCGCUUGUUCCACACCAGCUACCACUCCCAGGCAGUGCAUAUCCGCCCUGUUUGCAGAAAUGCACGCUGUACUA
rnacentral:lncRNA from 1 species